rnacentral:RNase_P_RNA from 1 species
CAACUCUGCCGGACGGCCGCGCGGUACGGUGCCGAAAGGUUUUACCGUGAGGAAAGUCCGGGCUUCGCAGGGCAGGAUAGCUGAUAACGUCAGCCGCAGGCGACUGCCGGGAAAGUGCAACAGAAAUAAACCGCCGAGAAAUCGGUAAGGAUGGAAAGGCGAGGUAAGAGCUCACCAGUUCCUAUGGUAACAUAGGUCCGCUGUAAACCCUAUCCGAAGCAACACCGUAUGGGAGCCGUUUGCCCGACACAUGCUCCCGGGUGGCACGGGGGAAACCCCGGAGCUAUAUGGCGACAUAUAGCAAAGACAGAUGGUCGUCCACGACAGAACCCGGCUUACAGGCAGAGUUGCAAU